GGAGACGCCAGCCGACCGGCGCCGGCCACCGUCUCGAAAACGGUUGGGGGUAACACCCGUGGGCGUUCGACUCGCCCCGUCUCCG
rnacentral:tRNA from 1 species